rnacentral:rRNA from 1 species
UGCUCAAUGAUUUUUUAAAUUGCUGUAGUAUUUUGACUAUACAAAGGUAUUGAAAUAAGAUUUUAAUUGAAUGCUAAGAGAAUGGAUUUACGAAAAAUGACUUUUUUAAAUUCAAUAAUUGAAUUUAUUUUUAUUUGUGAGGAAACAAUAAUAAAUAUUAAGGACAAGAAGACCCUAAGAAUUUUAAAAGAAUUAAUAUUUGAAUCAAAAUUUAUAUCUUUUUAAUUGGGGCGAUUAAGAAAUAUUAAUAACUUUCUUUACAAUACCAAAAUGAACCGUUAAUAGCGGUAAUAUGAUAAAAAUACUCUAGGGAUAACAGCGUAAUAAUUUUUGAUAGUUCAUAUAGACAAAAUAGUUUGCGACCUCGAUGUUGGAUUAGGAUACUUUUUUAAUGAAGAAGUUAAAAUAAGGAGUUUGUUCAACUUUUAAAAUCCUACUUGAUCUGAGUUCAGACCGGA